rnacentral:rRNA from 1 species
GACGAACGCUGGCGGCGUGCCUAAUACAUGCAAGUGGAACGCUGAAGGAGGAGCUUACUUCUCUGGAUGAGUUGCGAACGGGUGAGUAACGCGUAGGUAACCUGCCUGGUAGCGGGGGAUAACUAUUGGAAACGAUAGCUAAUACCGCAUAAGAGUAGAUGUUGCAUGACAUUUACUUAAAAGGUGCAAUUGCACCACUACCAGAUGGACCUGCGUUGUAUUAGCUAGUUGGUGGGGUAACGGCUUACCAAGGCGACGAUACGUAGCCGACCUGAGAGGGUGAUCGGCCACACUGGGACUGAGACACGGCCCAGACUCCUACGGGAGGCAGCAGUAGGGAAUCUUCGGCAAUGGACGGAAGUCUGACCGAGCAACGCCGCGUGAGUGAAGAAGGUUUUCGGAUCGUAAAGCUCUGUUGUAAGAGAAGAACGAGUGUGAGAGUGGAAAGUUCACACUGUGACGGUAUCUUACCAGAAAGGGACGGCUAACUACGUGCCAGCCGCCGCAGUAA